rnacentral:rRNA from 1 species
GACGAACGCUGGCGGCGUGCUUAACACAUGCAAGUCGAGCGGUAAGGCCCUUUCGGGGGUACACGAGCGGCGAACGGGUGAGUAACACGUGGGUGACCUGCCCUCAGCUCUGGGAUAAGCCUGGGAAACCGGGUCUAAUACUGGAUAUGACUCCAUGACGCAUGUUGUGGGGUGAAAGCCUUGUGCGGCUGAGGAUGGGGCCCCNCGGCCUAUCAGCUUGUUGGUGGGGUGANGGGCCUACCAAGGCGACGACGGGUAGCCGGCCCGAGAGGGCGACCGGCCACACUGGGACUGAGACACGGCCCAGACUCCUACGGGAGGCAGCGAGUGGGGAAUCUUGCGCAAUGGGCGAAAGCCUGACGCAGCGACGCCGCGUGAGGGAUGACGGCCU